GGAGAGAUGGCUGAGUGGUCGAAAGCGCUCGCUUGGAGUGCGAGUAUACUCGCAAGAGUAUCCAGGGUUCGAAUCCCUGUCUCUCCGCCA
rnacentral:tRNA from 1 species